rnacentral:lncRNA from 1 species
CGCUCGACGAGCUGAUACAUCCAUCGAUCGACAUGGAGAUUCCUCCAUCGAUCGACACUCAGAGGCCGCCAUCGAUCGACAAUUUCCAGCGCCUAUCGAUCGAUGAGCACCUAUUACCUGUCGAGUGCAGAUGCCAAAGAUAGAUGUAGCAUGACUCAAUGCACUCAGGCCCAAACUCAAACCUUCAGAAUACCCACUAGAGCCCAU